UGGGGAUUUUAUGAACGAUUGCUCAAGCGGUUAGCGUAGCUUCAGUGUGUUUGUGUUGCCUAAUCCACCUGUAAUCUGUCUCUUUCACAAGCUUUCAAUCUGCGGCACAGGUCAGGCUAUGGAGGCUCCACACUCUGAACUCCGGUUACAUAACUGGAUAAACUCUCUCCCUCUCUCUCUCCCUUUCUCCCCCUCUCUCUCACUCUCCAUCGUCUCCUCACCAUCCAGCACUUUCCCCUCCGGAGAGCUGGACAGACAUCUGACCUCGGCAUUAAUCAGAAGCGCAGCACACAACCUUCAGACACAGCCCGGGAAACGGCCACAACCGCACACCUCAGUGAGCUGCAGCUGAGAUUAACCGCCAGCUGACGUUGGGAGAAACGGCAUUGUGGGGCGAUGGGACCAGCACUGGGGCUGCCAGGUGCUCCAGGGGUGGCAUCCCCCCCCAGCACGGUGUCUUGUUUCCCACGGGCUGAGACAGAAAACCCCUUGUGGCAGAAGAGAGGAGCUGAAGGACUUCUUUCCCCAGUGCUCAUCGGUGGUAUAAUGAUGACUCCUGGUCUCACCAAAGCCAUCUGCAUGCGGACAUAUUUUUAGUUCACACAGUUAUGGGGGUGGGGUGGGGUUGGGCAGUCAUAGUAACGAGACUUCAAUGUUUAUGUGCAACAAAAUACAUUGCAGAUAGAGUAAAUGAUAUUUGCUGCAUCAAACAGUUUCAACAAUAUCAUGUAGACAGUUCUGGGGAGUAAAUUUCAGUUUAUUUUAAAUCAUUUCAUUUCUUGUUUCGGUGAAAAAAUCUCACUUGUCUAGAUCAUGCUGUCAUUGUGAAACUUGUACACUUGAAUACUCAAUUUGAUCUCAUUUUUCUGAGAUUAACUCACUUUUUCAUGCCCCAGGCCUUCUGUUGGGAGAGAAAAAGGAUGAAAUGUCAACUGUUAUGUAAUUCAAAUUCCAGCCAUGCUCUAAAUUGCAUCCUGAAGGAACCUUGUGCUUGUAUUAUUUUGCCAAUUUCUCAUUUCGCCAAAACACUUCUUGUGGUGUCAGAAUCAUUGUAUAAUGUCAGCAGUAGUCAUUGAUUGAGGUUCUUCAUCAAAUUACUUUCAGUUUCACUGUUGCACCAGUACCAAGGCCGUAGAUUUAAUCUGAGUAUUGGGGGGUUGAUGUGCAUAAAUUGCACCCCUGUAGGGGGGUCUGGGGGGGGGGGCAUGCCCUCCAGAAGAAUUUUUUUAAAGAACAGAAGUGAAAUGAUAAUUUCUUGUGAAUUCUGUAAGGGGAAAAUCUUACUGAUCAGCAUAUUUUAAUCACAACAUGAAAUCCCUUUUUUAUUAUAUGAAACAAUUUUUCUCAUGGUCAUGCUGCUGUAUUAUUUCAAAUACUACAACACAGGCCAAAUAAGCCCCCCCCCCCCC